rnacentral:rRNA from 1 species
UACUGAGGGUGCGAGCGUUAAUCGGAAUUACUGGGCGUAAAGCGCACGCAGGUGGCUGAGAAAGUCGAUUGUGAAAGCCCUGGGCUUAACCUGGGAAUUGCAGUCGAAACUACUCGGCUAGAGUAUGGGAGAGGACAGUGGAAUUCCCGGUGUAGCGGUGAAAUGCGUAGAUAUUCGGAGGAACACCAGUGGCGAAGGCGGCUCACUGGUCCGGUACUGACGCUGAGGUGCGAAAGCGUGGGGAGCAAACAGG